UACAGAGGGUGCAAGCGUUAAUCGGAAUUACUGGGCGUAAAGUGUGCGUAGACGGUUAUGUAAGUCAGAUGUGAAAGCCCCGGGCUCAACCUGGGAAUUGCAUUUGAGACUGCAUAGCUAGGGUGCGGAAGAGGGAAGCGGAAUUUCCGGUGUAGCGGUGAAAUGCGUAGAUAUCGGAAGGAACACCAGUGGCGAAAGCGGCUUCCUGGUCCAGCACCGACGUUCAGGCACGAAAGCGUGGGGAGCAAACAGG
rnacentral:rRNA from 1 species